AGUAUUCACCAUGAUAUCCCCAGGAUGUAGCUGAAAAAUGGGCACUUUGUAGAUAUUGAAUAAGUGUUUGUUGUGGGAAAAUGGCCUGAGCUUGGAAUGCGUCCUUGGCAAACUCAAGGGUGCGGACAUUGGAACACCAAGUUCUGCCUGGACGGAACACUGUCCAGGGCAGCACCCGCAUUGUUUAUGCAAGAAGCAUGCAAGUCUCGAAUGGCCUGUCCCUGACUUUCUAUCUUGCUAACUUCCCUAUCUUGCCUUCUCCGGCCUGUUAGCAACUCCUCUAUUUCCUGUGAUAAAAUGAAGCUAAUAAAUGUGAUGUAAAACAAGCGGAAGCACUCUUUACAACUAGGCUCUGAGUCCCCUGUUCCCAUCUUUGCUGCAACUGUUACACUGUUUCUUAAGUUCGGCGUCGCCUCGGGACAACAAGUGGUGUCCAACAUGGGGCGGAUAGUCUGGGAGAAGGCUCGCGGCAAGAGAAUUUGUGGUUACAAUAUCUGCGCAGGACCUCGGGUGGAACUUGAAGGCCUUCUACGUCCUCAAAGUCCUCAGAUGCACAAGAAAAACCGUCUACGAACUAAUGCAAAAGGAAAGAGCUCGCUCAGUUUUCUUCUCUAUACAAAAACAAAAAGGGGGAAAUGUGGGAAAAUGGCCUGAGCUUGGAAUGUGUCCUUGACCUACUCAAGGGUGCGGACAUUGGAACACCAAGUUCUGCCCGGAUGUAACACUGUCCAGGGCUGCACCUGCAUUGUUUAUGCAAGAAGCAUGCAAGUCUCGAAUGGCCUGUCCCUGACUCCCUAUUUUGCUAACUUCCCUAUCUUGCCUUCUCCAGCCUGUUAGCAACUCCUCUAUUUCCUGGGAUAAAAUGAAGCUAAUAAAUGUGAUGUGAAACAAGCGGAGGCACUCUUUGCCAACUAGGCUCUGAGUCCCCUGCUCCCAUCUUUGCUGCUACUGUUAUUCUGUUUCUUAAGUUCUGCGUCACUUCCCAACAACAGUUUGUUAAAUAAAUGCAUGUGAAUCUUCAAAAAUAGAAAUCCUCCAUCAGGAAUAAUUUAUGAAAAACUGAUACUUGAGAACAAAGUAUGUCUCUUUCAACCUUGUAUCUCUAAUGUCUAUCAGCAAGCCUAGCACAUAGCUGCCUCCAAAUAAAUACUGAAGGAGUUGAACUGAA